rnacentral:rRNA from 1 species
UACGGAGGGUGCAAACGUUGCUCGGAAUCAUUGGGCGUAAAGCGCACGUAGGCGGUCUCUCAAGUUGGAUGUGAAAGCCCUGGGCUCAACCCAGGAAGUGCAUUCAAAACUGUGAGACUUGAGUUCCGGAGGGGCCCAGAGAAUUCCCGGUGUAGAGGUGAAAUUCGUAGAUAUCGGGAGGAAUACCAGUGGCGAAGGCGCUGGGCUGGACGGACACUGACGCUGAGGUGCGAAAGCGUGGGGAGCAAACAGG